UUAGUAUCCUUUGGAUAUAUGUUAGAUAUUAUAUUUUAAAUCAAAGAUAGAAGUGACCAUGCCAUAUUUUUAGUACUGAGAGGAAUAUGUCAUCCCAAAUAUAUUAAUUUGGGAUUUUAAUUUAAAUGUAAAAUUAAUGGUUCCAAAUUACUGAGAAGCGCUCGUAUAUUAAUUUAAAAUAUUUAAUUUUCUAUCCCAAUUAAUAUGGAAGACCAAAAUAACUAACUCACUAACUAACUAACUAACUAAACUCUGCCCUUUCUGUGGUGGUAGCCGAUCGAACUCGCCACCCGAGGAGAGGGAGGAUGGGAAGACCGAAGCCGUAGAGGUGCGGCCUUGGCGCCCCAUGGCGGUAACGAUCUUGCGGGUCGCGGCCGUUCUCCGAAUAGAUCUUAAGCGCCCCGUCGUUUCCUCGUAGAUGAGCGCCGAGAUGCGCUUCGCCUCGCCCAUACGCGGCAGCCGCCCGAUCGCCGGCUUCUUGAUCCUCUAGUUAUUGUUCCUUGGAACUUUCCGGUGCCGUUUCGUCCCGCCUUCUGCUGCGCACCCGGAUCGCGGAUCUGGUGGACUCCCGCGGCGGAUGGUAUGCCGUUUAUUUGAUGGUCUUCGUAUGCUCGCUUUGCCCUUGAGAUGGGAAACCGAUCCGUGGUAGCUUCUUGCUUCUUUUUCUGACCGUCGUAUUCACGAAGGUCUCUGUUCGUUGGUGGGAACGAGAAGUUGCCGGAUUCAACCUCGAGGAAAAGAUGAUGACCUGAAUCUGGAGCUGGGGUUGCAGCCAUGGAGUAGUCUGCCGGAGCCAGUGAUGAUGUUCACCUGCUCCUACUGCCCCCGCAAGUUCCACAGCUCCCAGGCUUUAGGAGGUCAUCAGAACGCUCACAAGCUGGAGCGGAGCCUCGCCAUGCAGCGCCGGGAGCUGGCCUUGGCCAUCCGUGAGAAGACAGACGGCUUCGGAUCUACCAGCAAUGGCGGUGUGGAUGAUAGGAAUAAGCUAGCAGUAGAGAUUGACUUGUCCUUGAGACUAUGAGAACGUUGUUGAGUUCCGAGUCAACUUGUUCCAUGUUCUUCUUCCUUGUAUUCUGAUUAAAUAGGUCAGAUCAUGAUUAGAUCAAGGUGGACUACUGUUUGAAGUAGUGAUAUAGUCUAUACUAUUAGAUGCGUUCAUUAAGAGUGCGGUCUUGUGAGUUGCCUUUAUAAGUUACUAUAGAUUUUUUUUUCUUUAAAUUUGUAUAGAUUAACGGACGAAUUCCAGAAAAAACUUUUGUUUUUGGGCUUUUAA